GAUGAACGCUGGCGGCGUGCCUAAUACAUGCAAGUCGAGCGAACGGACGAGAAGCUUGCGUCUCUGAUGUUAGCGGCGGACGGGUGAUUAACACGUGGAUAACCUACCUAUAAGACUGGGAUAACUUCGGGAAACCGGAGCUAAUACCGGAUGAUAUUUUGAACCGCAUGGUUCAAAAGUGAAAGACGGUCUUGCUUUCACUUAUAGAUGGAUCCGCGCUGCAUUAGCUAGUUGGUAAGGUAACGGCUUACCAAGGCAACGAUGCAUAGCCGACCUGAGAGGGAGAUUCGCCACCCUGGAAGUGAGGCACGGUCCACACACCUACGGGGGGCAGCAGUCGGGAAUCUUACGCAAUGGGCGAAAGCCUAACGUAGGAAAGCCGCGUGAGUGAUGAAGUUCCUCGGAUCGUAAAGCUAUGUUAUUCGGGAAGAAGAUAUGUGUAAGUAACUGUGCACAUCUUGACGGUACCUAAAGAGAAAGCCACGGCUAACUACGUG
rnacentral:rRNA from 1 species